rnacentral:rRNA from 1 species
AACGAACGCUGGCGGCAUGCCUAACACAUGCAAGUCGAACGAGACCUUCGGGUCUAGUGGCGCACGGGUGCGUAACGCGUGGGAACCUGCCCUUAGGUUCGGAAUAACUCUCCGAAAGGGGUGCUAAUACCGGAAAAUGUCUUCGGACCAAAGAUUUAUCGCAUUUGGAUGGGCACGCGUUGGAUUAGCUAGUUGGUAGGGUAAAAGCCUACCAAGGCGACGAUCCAUAGCUGGUUUGAGAGGAUGAUCAGCCACCCUGGGACUGAGACACGGCCCAGACUCCUACGGGAGGCAGCAGUGGGGAAUAUUGGACAAUGGGCGAAAGCCUGAUCCAGCAAUGCCGCGUGAGUGAUGAAGGCCUUAGGGUUGUAAAGCUCUUUUACCCGGGAUGAUAAUGACAGUACCGGGAGAAUAAGCUCCGGCUAACUCCGUG